GUCCUCAUGGUUACUAGUCAGGUUCGUUGCCACUGAGCCUCGAUGGGAAUUCCCAUCCCCCACUUUGUUGUUUCCGUUGGCUUGGCUGCAGGUGCCACCUCUCAAGUCACUCCUUUACUAAGCCACCAUCCGCAGCAGAGGGACAGUCCACACCCUCGUUCAUGUCCACUGCACAAAUAGUACCGAGGACAAGCGUUCCUUUGAGCUCAGGGCCCCUGUCGCGCUUGGCCCCAUUGGAACCACUUGGUGGAACAUGUCAAAAGCACCGCUGAGGAGCCCACCCCCCGUACUCCUUGUCAUGAUCCGGUUGGUUGGGAGUGGGGUCCAGGCAGCUUAGAAGCUUCCCUGGCGAUUCUAACUGAAGUCAGGGUGGCCAGCCCCCGGUCUGCACGCGUGGUUUUCAAACUUUAACAUAUGCAUCUGGAUCACCUGGGGAGACCGCCUCCAUGAGGCGGCUCUGCAGUGGGGCCCACGGACCUGCCUUCCUCCCAAGUUUCCCGGGAGGUGGAUGCUGCGAGUCUGGGCCACGCUCUUGGGUAACCACCCAUCCAGACGAACCCGCGUGGGGCCUGCGGGUCUUUUCGCUCCCGGCGUCAUUCCCCACUCUGACCUGUCUGUAGUGAGCCACCCUGCCUUGCAUCUUGGGUCAUAGGUGGAAGUGAGGCUCCCCCUGCCCCCCAACUCCAGGAGCGAGAACAGGACCAAGUCUGGCUGAUCAGCAGAGGCUGCAGCUUGGCUCCCGAGAGCGGGUGGUUCCAGCAAUGGGCAUGUCACUUGGCCCUCCAGGGAGAGUCAGCCCUGGACUCGCGCCGGAACCCUUGGGAAGAAGUGCUAAGCUGGUAGGAUGCAAGCCUGGCGCUGCUGGCACCCAGCUUGUCUUGCGUGGGAAAAGCGUGCCUGAGGAUGAAGCAGGCAAAGGAGGCUGAAGAAGAGACUGAGAGAGACCGAAUCCUGACAACACUUCCUUAGCCCCUGCAUCCAGCUAAGCCUGAAUUUAGAUGCCAGUGUUUCUGUUAGACGAGUCAAUACAUUCCCUUGUUUGUGCAUCACAGGGAAUAUAACCAUUAUUUUGUAAAACCUUUAGAUGGAGUGUAAUUGACAAAAACAUCGAAGCCUUCAUGGUACGCCUGAAACUACUGUAACACUGUAAAUCAACCAGAUUGCAAUCAAUUCCCUUUUUGCUUAAGCCGGCUUGGGGUGGGCUUUGCUGUGUGCAACUCAAAAAGUGCCGUCCACCGGGACACAACUAAACGCUUCCCACCCAGACAGUGGGACGCCGGGCUCUCUCCUGGGUGCAGCUCCCACCAGGCAAUGACCUUCCAAGAGGCCCCAGAACCGAGCAGCAGAACUCCUAGCAUCGUUCGGUGCCGUUUCCCUCCUGGUGCGCGUGGGGGGACCUGGGGGACAGGUGGCUGAGGACGUGUCCUGAGACAUGCCUACCACAAAGCCUGGGAGAUCUGCCCUUGGCUCUGUCAAUAAAUCCACCCAGGAGGCGGGCGAUAACAGCCAGCAGGCGGUGCCACACACCGAGAGUCCCCUUCUCAAGGACACCCGCGCGGGGACGGGGCUGCCGCCUUCAGCACCAAAAAGAGCGUUAUUGUUUCAGUUUGUCUCACCGCCCUUGAACAAACACAGAGAGACGCUGUUGCUUCUCAUCGACCCAGUGGAGCGUAUGGAAACGGGAAAAUUCUUCUACGGGACAAGUGCGAGCUUUCGAGGGAAACGGAGCCUCCAGCCGUCUCACCACCCGCACCAACACUGACCACAUCUGGGGAGCACGCGCCUUUGUGUUCGCCUUAUCGGGGAAGGGUUAGGGCCACUGGGAGCUAACACAACCGAUGAAAGACCAGAAGCGCAGGCUUAGGUCAGCAGGAAUCAAGGAAACGCUGCGGGUCAAGACGCAGGAAGGAGGAACACCGGCCCCCUCCUUUGACCGGACAGAGGUCAGGACGGCAUCAGUGACACACAACGGCUAUUGCCACGAAGAGAACUGGCUCUGGCAGAAUGAAAGGCCACGGCGGAGAGCGUCUGACGCCCCACUGACGCAGCCAGGAGAUGGAACUAGCGCUGCCCCUUCGGACCAAGUUACCGCUCUGAGAGGUACCCUGGAGGAAUCAGGAGCACUUCCUUCGUGCCAGGGCCUGUGCUGGGCAUCAGAGAAAAGCUGCAAAUAAUAAAGAUGUCCGUAAAUAUUUAUUAAAGGCUCAUGGAUCUGAUGGCUCUUU